GAUGAACGCUGGCGGCGUGCCUAAUACAUGCAAGUCGAGCGAACAGACGAGGAGCUUGCUCCUUUGACGUUAGCGGCGGACGGGUGAGUAACACGUGGAUAACCUACCUAUAAGACUGGGAUAACUUCGGGAGACCGGAGCUAAUACCGGAUAACAUGUUGAACCGCAUGGUUCAACAGUGAAAGACGGUCUUGCUGUCACUUAUAGAUGGAUCCGCGCCGCAUUAGCUAGUUGGUAAGGUAACGGCUUACCAAGGCAACGAUGCGUAGCCGACCUGAGAGGGUGAUCGGCCACACUGGAACUGAGACACGGUCCAGACUCCUACGGGAGGCAGCAGUAGGGAAUCUUCCGCAAUGGGCGAAAGCCUGACGGAGCAACGCCGCGUGAGUGAAGAAGGUCUUCGGAUCGUAAAACUCUGUUAUUAGGGAAGAACAAAUGUGUAAGUAACUAUGCACGUCUUGACGGUACCUAAUCAGAAAGCCACGGCUAACUACGUG
rnacentral:rRNA from 1 species